GUGCCAGCAGCCGCGGUAAGACGGAGGAUGCAAGUGUUAUCCGGAAUCACUGGGCGUAAAGCGUCUGUAGGUGGUUUAAUAAGUCAACUGUUAAAUCUUGAGGCUCAACUUCAAAAUCGCAGUCGAAACUAUUAGACUAGAGUAUAGUAGGGGUAAAGGGAAUUUCCAGUGGAGCGGUGAAAUGCGUAGAGAUUGGAAAGAACACCGAUGGCGAAGGCACUUUACUGGGCUAUUACUAACACUCAGAGACGAAAGCUAGGGUAGCAAAUGGGAUUAGAUACCCCAGUAGUCCUAGCUGUAAACAAUGGAUACUAGAUGUUGAACAGAUCGACCUGUGCAGUAUUAAAGCUAACGCGUUAAGUAUCCCGCCUGGGAAGUAUGCUCGCAAGAGUGAAACUCAAAUGAAUUGACGG
rnacentral:rRNA from 1 species